AGACCCGCGAGCUGACCCUGCGCUGCGUGGAUUCGUUGCAGGUGUGCCUCCCCGCGUCGUGCGAGACCGUCGUGGUCGACGACGGCAGCACCGACGGAACCGCGGAAGCGCUUCGCCGGCGUCACCCCGGCGUGAAGCUCGUCGUGCUCACGCCGGGCCGCGGGUUCACGGCCGCGGCGAAUCUGGGCAUGAGCGAGAGCCGCGGUGACCUCCUCUUCCUGCUGAACAGCGAUACCGAAGUGGAAUCGGCGACGGUGCCGCGCCUGCUGGCGGCCUUCGAGGACGAUCCGCGCCUCGGCGUGGCCGGAGCCGAGCUGCGCUUUCCGGACGGGCGGCCCCAGUGGAGCGCCGGGCACACGCCCACGUCGCUCUGGCUCUUCGCGCUGGCCAGCGGGAUGGC
rnacentral:misc_RNA from 1 species